AUCACUUACAGAUGGGCCCGCGGCGCAUUAGCUAGUUGGUGAGGUAACGGCUCACCAAGGCGACGAUGCGUAGCCGACCUGAGAGGGUGAUCGGCCACACUGGGACUGAGACACGGCCCAGACUCCUACGGGAGGCAGCAGUAGGGAAUCUUCCGCAAUGGACGAAAGUCUGACGGAGCAACGCCGCGUGAGCGAUGAAGGCCUUCGGGUCGUAAAGCUCUGUUGUUAGGGAAGAAUAAGUGCUAGUUAAAUAAGCUGGCACCUUGACGGUACCUAACCAGAAAGCCACGGCUAACUACGUGCCAGCAGCCGCGGUAAUACGUAGGUGGCAAGCGUUGUCCGGAAUUAUUGGGCGUAAAGCGCGCGCAGGCGGUUUCUUAAGUCUGAUGUGAAAGCCCCCGGCUCAACCGGGGAGGGUCAUUGGAAACUGGGAAACUUGAGUGCAGAAGAGGAAAGUGGAAUUCCAAGUGUAGCGGUGAAAUGCGUAGAGAUUUGGAGGAACACCAGUGGCGAAGGCGACUUUCUGGUCUGUAACUGACGC
rnacentral:rRNA from 1 species